UACAGAGGUCCCAAGCGUUGUUCGGAUUCACUGGGCGUAAAGGGUGCGUAGGUGGUGAGGUAAGUCGGAUGUGAAAUCUCCGAGCUCAACUCGGAAACUGCAUUGGAAACUACCUUGCUCGAGGGUUGGAGGGGGGACUGGAAUUCCCGGUGUAGUGGUGAAAUGCGUAGAGAUCGGGAGGAACAUCAGUUGCGAAGGCGGCUCUCUGGACCAGCACUGACACUGAGGCACGAAAGCGUGGGGAGCAAACAGG
rnacentral:rRNA from 1 species